AAGAACUACUAGAAAAGAUAACAGGGUCAGAUCUGACCUUGCUGCGGCCCCUCGACACAUUUCUGUUUCACACACUUUCAUUCUGGGGUUGCCUGUACAGCCCAUCCAUAACUUUCUCUUUUCCAGCACAGCCUUUCACAGCUGCCAGCACAGAGGAAUUCCAAAGCAGGGCCGGUGCCUCUGUGUGCAUUUCAAGAGCUUUCCUCUACAUCAUUUGACCAACUCUUCAAGAGACCACGCAGUAAUGACAAAAACAUGCAAUUAUCUUUCAUCACCUGAUUUGCCCAUUUUACUGAGAUCAUUGAGAGUGGCUCCAUGUUCAGUUUUGGUCUACUUGUCAAAGAUUCAGCAAGAAAUCCAUGAGAUAAUGGUGGUUACUACAUUCAGAAAAUUAAGAAGUUGUAUCCUCCUUUUCUCCAGAAAUAUCCGCCUAUUCUCCAGAAUCAUAAUG
ensembl:lncRNA